UACGUAGGGGGCAAGCGUUAUCCGGAUUUACUGGGUGUAAAGGGGGCGCAGACGGCAGCGCAAGCCAGGAGUGAAAGCCCGGGGCCCAACCCCGGGACUGCUCUUGGAACUGCGCGGCUGGAGUGCAGGAGGGGCAGGCGGAAUUCCUGGUGUAGCGGUGAAAUGCGUAGAUAUCAGGAGGAACACCAGUGGCGAAGGCGGCCUGCUGGACGAUGACUGACGUUGAGGCUCGAAAGCGUGGGGAGCAAACAGG
rnacentral:rRNA from 1 species